GACGUAUGGCGCGAGCGUUGUCCGGAUUUAUUGGGCGUAAAGAGCUCGUAGGCGGUUUGUCGCGUCUGCUGUGAAAACUGGAGGCUCAACCUCCAGCCUGCAGUGGGUACGGGCAAACUAGAGUGCGGUAGGGGAGAUUGGAAUUCCUGGUGUAGCGGUGGAAUGCGCAGAUAUCAGGAGGAACACCGAUGGCGAAGGCAGAUCUCUGGGCCGUAACUGACGCUGAGGAGCGAAAGCAUGGGGAGCGAACAGG
rnacentral:rRNA from 1 species